UGGAGCCUUAUAUACGAUCAAACUAACUUC
rnacentral:piRNA from 1 species